ensembl:lncRNA
CACCCCCCGUAGAAUCUCGGCCACCCCAUUGGCCACCCCAAGCACCGGAUCACAGCGGUCAAAAGUUUUGACGGCUGUGGAAAAAUGCGGAACCUUUCUCGCACCGCUAGUACACUGCCGGACCCUUUAGCCGCGCACAGCGCGCACACGUCCUGUAUUUGAAUUAAACGGCUCAAGCAUGCCCUGAAUGCCUGUUACCACCUGACGUUUCGACCGGCACCUGCGGCUAAGUGAAGAAACCCAAAACAGAAAGAUUGAUCGAGAGCAGGACAGAAGAGUCCUCCCUGAGGAGUGGCCCCAGUGGAUCCCCAGAUUCCCACAGAAGAUUCAGACAGCGAGAGAGAGGAGCCUCCAACAACAAGUGGCGGCCCAAGGUACCUCCAGACAUUUCCAAAUCAAGAACCGAUAGAUCUUUAAGGACAGUCUUUGAAGUGUUCAGUUUUAAUGAGAUGUCACUGUUUGGAUUCUCUGUCUGAUAUGUGUAAAUGUGGCUCAAACUUGAAUCUAAUCUUGCAGAGUCCGCCUAAUACCCAUUGUGAAUAUGAUGUUUGUUAUUAUGUGUUUGAUAGAUGUUUAUGAAUCGAAUUGAAGAAAAAUUGACACUGCUUAUUUAAACAGGCUGUUAAUGCUUGUCAUAUUUACAUUUGUUGGAAUUCAGCAAAUUGUAUUCAGGAUGUUAUUUUAUUUAUUUUCAUAUUUCUAUACAUUAGCUCAGUAUUUUAUACUUUUUGUUAUUUAAAGAUAAAUCCAUAUUGUGAUCAGACUUGAUUAAAAAAACAUUGCACUUCUAAUUUUGUAUCCUUGUUUUGUAUUCCUGAUGAUACACUGAGAGAAUUGACUUGGCUUGUCACCAUAAACUGAGGACAUCUCUACUAUAAAAUAG